UUCUAACUAUCCCAAAAUUAUAAACUCAAGGGUUUGUGUAUGUACACACACACACAAGAAUAUGCAAAGCUUAUCUAGAAUGUAGGGAGAAAUAAGAACCUAAGUUGAGAUGCCAGUGCACGUCAACAGUAGCCAGAAGGUCCCAGUGAGAAUAAGUGUGGAAUUCCAACUGCAGGAUUGCAGGAACAAAAACUUUAUUUUUAUUACACUUCUAUAAUUAAAAAGUUGUAUCACUCUUCAGUUACAUUUAUCUAAAUAAAUGAACCGAGUAUGUGGUAUAA